GUGUUUUAUUGUUUGUUCUUGUUUUUGUUCUACUCGUUUGUGAUGAACUCGAUUUCUUGAUACCAAUUUUUUGUAGCCCGAUUGCUCCUAUUGCUUGCUUCUUGAUGGCUCGAUUUUAGGGUUUUCAAUUAAAGGAUAUCGUUAUGGAUUUGCGUACUGAUAUGUUUCUUCUCAGAUAGUUGAUAUAAAAAGUUCACAAUUCUCUUGACUCCUCUUUUACAAAACGGUUAUCAAGAAUUAUUUAUAUAAUUUUUUCGAUAUAAUUCUUCAUCAUUCGAUUGAAAAUCGAGAUACAAAGGAUUAGAACGGGAAUCUAGAUAGACAAAUCAAGUUUCUUCAAUGAGUCGCUCUUUUAUUUUUAUUUUUAUUUUCUUGCUUUGAUUUCAAGACAUACGAAUUGAAUUGCGAACCUGUUUUUCUGCAGCAUGAUUUGUCGAAAUAAUAACGUUCUUCAUAUUCAUAGCAAAGAAUGGUUGCUCGAGUUUUGUUUGGUGAUCUCUAGUAAAAAAAUAUUGUUUCAAUCUUUCUUUUUAGAUUCUGAGAGCAUAUUUUCUUUAAGUAAAUUAUUUUCGUUUACAUACUUCUGUUUUCAUUCUUGAUUUUGUUGGUCUUUGGUGUUGCAGGAGAGGUAAUCUGUGAACACACGAUUCCUUCUUUUUUCUAUUUUACUCUUCUUUGAUCUUGAUGUUUUGUAUUCUUGGUUCUUGAUUUUGUUCUUGCUGGAUUCUUUCAUUGAGUUUGUUGUUCUUAUUUGCAUGAUCUGCAGCUAUUUUUGAGUGCGUUGGGAGCUCUGAUGCAAGUUUUGUUAGACGUUUUGCAAGACAUGGUCAUCAAUCAUCACCCCUGGUUGAAUUUACUGAAUUUAGUUUCUUCACUGAAUUGUAUUAUUUUCCUAUUAUGGCUUUGAAUGUUUUGAUCUCCAUACAUGUGAAUUGAAACAUGAACCUGUUUUCUGCGGUGUAGGGUGUUUUGAAGUAAAAUAACGUUUUGUGUAGUAUCAAGCCUUAGGUUUACUUUUGUACACUGUUCUUGGAUUGUGAAUUAUUUUCAUUUCAUGUGUGAGUUUUUAUUGCUAGUGUUCUUGAUUUACUCAGUUUGGUGAGCCUAUCUAAUUGGCGACUUGGUUUGGAGAAUUAUGCUAUUUGUCACGAACUAUUUGUCACGAACUAUUUGUCACAGCGUAAUCAUGCUGAUUAUCUGUUUGCUGGGACAACUUUGUUGAGAGAGCUUUCUGUUAUCGUCUUUUACUCAUUAGUUGUUUUUGUGGUUUUUUGUGAGUUACGAUGAUACUCCUAAAAAGAUAUCCUCUUUGUUACAGUGGCCCAAGGACUCAUCUGUAGUAAGAAGAAGCCAAAAUUGUGUCAUUUCAUAUGGAGUACACGAUCUUGCAAGUUGGAUGGAAAUUUGUUCCAAUGAUUCAUAAGCUCUUGCAGGUUGUGUCGUAUACUUUUAGCUGUUGCUAGGUUUUAAUUCGGCCAUCUCUACUAAGAAUCUUCACAUUUCAUUAUUUGGCAGGAAGAGGUUCAGUUCUAACACACCUUUAGGAUAAAAACAGUCAUUUUGUACUUACAUAUCUAAUAUCUUAUUGUUUUGGGAUAUUUGUCCUUUGAUGGAGUGUCCUGCUGGUUUUGGAUUUUUUGUGUUGCUGUUUCAGCAAGAUUCUCGAGUGUACCUUUUCCCUCACCAAGGAUGUGGAAUUAGGGAUAACUUGGUUUGGUAUUUUUUUGUUCUGUUGAUUUAACACUUCGUUUGUUAUAUUUUUUUUCUAUUUUCUUGUCAAUUGUGAUACUUAGGAGUAAGGUUAAGAAUAAUAUUAUUAUCUCUAGUUGUACAUGAAUUCCUUCUGGUAUAGGGGUAAAGUCUAAUUUUGCUUUGGAGCACUGGAAUCUACAAUUGGUGCAUGCACUCCUUCUGGAAUAGGGGUAAAGCCUAAUUUUGCAUCGGAGCUCUGGAAUUUACACUUGGUUGUGUCCAAUAUUCUCACGAUUGUCGUUCUUUCAUUUGGUGAUCUCUACUUUGACGAUGGGGAUGUAGACAGUGAAAGCCAUGGCAGAGAUUAUCAAGGACGUCAUUUUGCUAUGUUGGAGAGAGCCAAUGAUUUUUGUAUGAUAUUGUAUAGUGGCAAUGUUGAUUUUUGUAUUGUGGCAAUGUUGAUUUUUGUGUUUUUUUACUGAGAGUUGUAAGAGAGGUUAUGAAGUGCAUGUACAUCUUUUUCAAGGAUAAUUUAAGACAUGCAUUUAUGUGUUUUUUGCAGUGAGUUGAAGUUUAGAUAUCUAUAACGUUGAGACUUGUUGGACGGAUAAGAAAGGGAAAGCCCUAGAUAAAUUAAA